rnacentral:rRNA from 1 species
UACGUAGGGUGCAAGCGUUGUCCGGAAUUAUUGGGCGUAAAGAGCUCGUAGGCGGUUUGUCGCGUCUGCUGUGAAAACUCGGGGCUUAACCCCGGGCCUGCAGUGGGUACGGGCAGACUAGAGUGCGGUAGGGGAGACUGGAAUUCCUGGUGUAGCGGUGAAAUGCGCAGAUAUUGGGAGGAACACCAAUGGCGAAGGCAGCACCCUGGGCCGGUACUGACGCUGAGGAGCGAAAGCGUGGGGAGCAAACAGG